rnacentral:rRNA from 1 species
AUUGAACGCUGGCGGCGUGCCUAACACAUGCAAGUCGAGCGGUAACAGGUGUAGCAAUACAUGCUGACGAGCGGCGGACGGGUGAGUAACGCUUGGGAAUCUGCCUAUUAGUGGGGGACAACCCGGGGAAACUCGGGCUAAUACCGCAUACGCUCUACGGAGGAAAGCCGGGGACCGCAAGGCCUGGCGCUAAUAGAUGAGCCCAAGUCGGAUUAGCUAGUUGGUAGGGUAANGGCCUACCAAGGCGACGAUCCGUAACUGGUCUGAGAGGACGACCAGUCACACCGGAACUGAGACACGGUCCGGACUCCUACGGGAGGCAGCAGUGGGGAAUAUUGGACAAUGGGCGAAAGCCUGAUCCAGCGACGCCGCGUGGGUGAAGAAGGCCUGCGGGUUGUAAAGCCCUUUCAGUAGGGAAGAAAAGCCGAGUGCUAAUAUCACUCGGUC